rnacentral:tRNA from 1 species
GCGGGCGUGUUGAAAUGGUAGACAAGCAAGACUUAGGAUCUUGUGCCCUGUGCGUGUGGGUUCGAGUCCCACCGCCCGCACCA